AAGGGGCAGUAAGGCGUGGGUAACCUACCCCGGGGACGGGGAUAGCCCUCCUAACGGAGGGGUAAUACCUGGCGAUGUGGUCGAGGGGCAUCUCUUGGCCAUGAAAUGAAUCUCGCCUCGGGAGGGGCUCACGUGAUAUCAGCUUGUUGGUGGGGUAACGGCCUACCAAGGCUACGACGUCUAGCGGGUGUGAGAGCACGACCCGCGCCACUGGCACUGAGACACUGGCCAGACUCCUACGGGAGGCUGCAGUCGAGGAUCUUCGGCAAUGGGCGCAAGCCUGACCGAGCGACGCCGCGUGUGCGAUGAAGGCCUUCGGGUUGUAAAGCACUGUCGAGGGGGAGGAAGCUCCGCAAGGGGUUGACCUAUCCCUGGAGGAAGCACGGGCUAAGUUCGUGCCAGCAGCCGCGGUAAGACGAACCGUGCGAACGUUGUUCGGAUUCACUGGGCUUAAAGGGCGCGUAGGCGGCUUGCCAAGUCGGGGGUGAAAUCUUUCGGCCUAACCGGAAAAGGGCCCCCGAUACUGGCAGGCUUGAGGGAGAUAGGGGCACGCGGAACUUCCGGUGGAGCGGUGAAAUGCGU
rnacentral:rRNA from 1 species